UGGGGAAUAUUGCACAAUGGGCGCAAGCCUGAUGCAGCCAUGCCGCGUGUAUGAAGAAGGCCUUCGGGUUGUAAAGUACUUUCAGCGGGGAGGAAAGGAGUAAAGUUAAUACCUUUGCUCAUUGACGUUACCCGCAGAAGAAGCACCGGCUAACUCCGUGCCAGCAGCCGCUGUAAUACGGAGGGUGCAAGCGUUAAUCGGAAUUACUGGGCGUAAAGCGCACGCAGGCGGUCUGUUAAGUCAGAUGUGAAAUCCCCGGGCUCAACCUGGGAACUGCAUCUGAUACUGGCAAGCUUGAGUUUCGUAGAGGGGGGUAGAAUUCCAGGUGUAGCGGUGAAAUGCGUAGAGAUCUGGAGGAAUACCGGUGGCGAAGGCGGCCCCCUGGACCGAGACUGACGCUCAGGUGCGAAAGCGUGGGGAGCAAACAGG
rnacentral:rRNA from 1 species